rnacentral:rRNA from 1 species
GAUGAACGCUGGCGGCGUGCCUAAUACAUGCAAGUCGAGCGAACAGAUGAGGAGCUUGCUCCUCUGACGUUAGCGGCGGACGGGUGAGUAACACGUGGAUAACCUACCUAUAAGACUGGGAUAACUUCGGGAAACCGGAGCUAAUACCGGAUAAUAUAUUGAACCGCAUGGUUCAAUAGUGAAAGACGGUUUUGCUGUCACUUAUAGAUGGAUCCGCGCCGCAUUAGCUAGUUGGUAAGGUAACGGCUUACCAAGGCAACGAUGCGUAGCCGAACUGAGAGGGUGAUCGGCCACACUGGAACUGAGACACGGUCCAGACUCCUACGGGAGGCAGCAGUAGGGAAUCUUCCGCAAAGGGCGAAAGCCUGACGGAGCAACGCCGCGUGAGUGAUGAAGGUCUUCGGAUCGUAAAACUCUGUUAUUAGGGAAGAACAAAUGUGUAAGUAACUAUGCACGUCUUGACGGUACCUAAUCAGAAAGCCACGGCUAACUACGUG